rnacentral:rRNA from 1 species
UACGGAGGUCUCAAGCGUUGUUCGGAUUCAUUGGGCGUAAAGGGUGCGUAGGUGGCGCCGUAAGUCGGAUGUGAAAUUUCGGAGCUUAACUCCGAAACUGCAUUCGAUACUGCGGUGCUUGAGGACUGGAGAGGAGACUGGAAUUCAUGGUGUAGCAGUGAAAUGCGUAGAGAUCAUGAGGAAGACCAGUGGCGAAGGCGGGUCUCUGGACAGUUCCUGACACUGAGGCACGAAGGCCAGGGGAGCAAACGGG